rnacentral:rRNA from 1 species
AACGAACGCUGGCGGCAUGCCUAACACAUGCAAGUCGAACGAGACCUUCGGGUCUAGUGGCGCACGGGUGCGUAACGCGUGGGAACCUGCCCUUAGGUUCGGAAUAACUCCCCGAAAGGGGUGCUAAUACCGGAUAAUGUCUUCGGACCAAAGAUUUAUCGCCUUUGGAUGGGCCCGCGUUGGAUUAGCUAGUUGGUAGGGUAAAAGCCUACCAAGGCGGCGAUCCAUAGCUGGUCUGAGAGGAAGAUCAGCCACACUGGGACUGAGACACGGCCCAGACUCCUACGGGAGGCAGCAGUGGGGAAUAUUGGACAAUGGGCGAAAGCCUGAUCCAGCAAUGCCGCGUGAGUGAUGAAGGCCUUAGGGUUGUAAAGCUCUUUUACCCGGGAUGAUAAUGACAGUACCGGGAGAAUAAGCUCCGGCUAACUCCGUG